rnacentral:rRNA from 1 species
CGCCUACGGGAGGCAGCAGUGGGGAAUAUUGCACAAUGGGGGAAACCCUGAUGCAGCAACGCCGCGUGAAGGAAGAAGUAUUUCGGUAUGUAAACUUCUAUCAGCAGGGAAGAAAAUGACGGUACCUGACUAAGAAGCCCCGGCUAACUACGUGCCAGCAGCCGCGGUAAUACGUAGGGGGCAAGCGUUAUCCGGAUUUACUGGGUGUAAGGGGAGCGUAGGCGGUGCAGCAAGUCAGAAGUGAAAGCCCGGGGCUCAACUCCGGGACUGCUUUUGAAACUGUUGAACUAGAUUGCAGGAGAGGG